AGGGAAACCGUUAAGUGUGCCGCCUGGGAAGUACGGUCGCAAGGCUAAAACUUAAAGGAAUUGGCGGGGGAGCACCACAAGGGGUGAAGCCUGCGGUUCAAUUGGACUCAACGCCGGGAAACUUACCAGGGGAGACAGCAGAAUGACAGUCAGGUUGACGACCUUACUCGACGAGCUGAGAGGAGGUGCAUGGCCGUCGCCAGUUCGUGCUGUGAGGUAUCCUGUUAAGUCAGGCAACGAACGAGAUCCGCGCCUUUAUUUGCCAUCAAGAAGUCACGACUUCGUUGGGAACACUAAAGGGACCGCCGUCGAUAAGACGGAGGAAGGAGCGGGCAAAGGCAGGUCAGUAUGCCCCGAAACCCCUGGGCUACACGCGGGCUGCAAUGGUGCGAACAAUGGGCUGUAACUCCGAAAGGAGAAACCAAUCCCGAAAUCGCAUCUCAGUGGGGAUUGUCGACUGUAACUCGUUGACAUGAACGUGGAAUCCCUAGUAAUCGCGUGUCACCAUCGCGCGGUGAUACGUCUCUGCUCCUGCACACACCGCCCGUCA
rnacentral:rRNA from 1 species